UUCAUCUUGCCAUUAUUUUGCUGCAGCCCAUACUACCUUCUCUUUAAGAUUGUCUCCUUGUGUUAGAACCCUGAAAAUGAAGUUCAUUUGACUUCACUGCAACUGUAUUUUCAGGCAAUUUCACAGUUUAAAGUCUACUAGAAUUUCACAAAGAUAUCGAUGAAAAGGCAGGAGGCCUCUAGGAUAAGCAAGUGUGUUUUGAGCUGGAGGUAGGGGAACUUCCAUCUCUUUUUUACGAAUCCGAAGAAGAACAGCGACGCCAUGAACAAGAAGUUCCAUGAAAGGUUGACCUUUCAGGAGAAAAAAGACAAGGACGUGAUCAUAUGAAGAAGAAGCUGAAGUAGCCAAACUGCAAGGUUAUACAUAGGAAAAUGGAUUUUGGGUAUAAUCAACUCGAUCAAAUUGUAAAUGAAUUGCAAUUUUCUUGUCCUUGCUUUUUGGUUUCCUACAACUUUUGCAAAUAUCCUGUUUAUUUAUCACAGAUUUCACUAUCUUCUCUUAAUUAAUUUGACUUUCUUUACUGAUUUUUUGGGCAUAUAAACAAGCUUCAACAAGCGUUUCCUACGGUCAUGUAAUGUUAUGAUAAUACCAGAAUAAAUUCAACAAGAGUUGGUAUUUCAAUGAUUCAAUCGAUAUUUUCUUGCUUGCCAAACAGCAUGAUGACAUAGCAAUAGGCUAUAUAUGUAUGACCUCAAUCAGAAAUUCAGAUGGAAUUUACUAUAUAUAGAGAGGAGAAAAUCACUUCAUUUAGAUUUAAAAAAUUGAGUAAAUGAACACAGCCUGUACGGUAAGAUAUAUGUUUACGGAAUCUGGGAAACAAUCUUAUUAAUUAUACUAAAUUAAUCGCACUUUGUGUGCAGUCGAGAAAUGCUUGGCUGCAGCUACCAUGGUGGCCUCUGGCCCUGUUGGCGCCGCUGCAACCUUCGUCUUCUUCACAUCUUCAUCUUCAUCAAAUACCGGAAGCCAUGAAAGGAAGAAUAUUGAUCUCAGGAAUGAUGAGGCUCGACUUUCUUUCCUGCCCUUCAUCUUGCUUAAUCAAUAUCUGUGAUAGCUGAUACUACCC